GGCCGACAGGCUCAGUUGGUAAGAGCGUUGUGCUAAUAUUGUUGUGGUGUUACGUGAAGAUGUUGGGUAUUGAUCCCCACGUUAGCCA